rnacentral:rRNA from 1 species
CCUACGGGGGGCAGCAGUGAGGAAUAUUGGUCAAUGGGCGCGAGCCUGAACCAGCCAAGUCGCGUGAGGGAAGACGGUCCUAUGGAUUGUAAACCUCUUUUGUCGGGGAGCAAAAGCCGCCACGCGUGGCGUUCCGCGAGUACCCGAAGAAAAAGCAUCGGCUAACUCCGCGCCAGCAGCCGCGGUAAUACGGAGGAUGCGAGCGUUAUCCGGAUUUAUUGGGUUUAAAGGGUGCGCAGGCGGAAGAUCAAGUCAGCGGUAAAAUUGAGAGGCUCAACCUCUUCGAGCCGUUGAAACUGGUUUUCUUGAGUGAGUGAGAAGUAUGCGGAAUGCGUGGUGUAGCGGUGAAAUGCAUAGAUAUCACGCAGAACUCCGAUUGCGAAGGCAGCAUACCGGCGCUCAACUGACGCUCAUGCACGAAAGUGUGGGGAUCGAACAGGAUUAGAUACCCCUGUAGUC